AGUGAACGCUGGCGGUAGGCCUAACACAUGCAAGUCGAACGGCAGCACAGUAAGAGCUUGCUCUUACGGGUGGCGAGUGGCGGACGGGUGAGGAAUACAUCGGAAUCUACUUUUUCGCGGGGGAUAACGUAGGGAAACUUACGCUAAUACCGCAUACUACCUACGGGUGAAAGCAGGGGAUCUUCGGACCUUGCGCGAUUGAAUGAGCCGAUGUCGGAUUAGCUAGUUGGCGGGGUAAAGGCCCACCAAGGCGACGAUCCGUAGCUGGUCUGAGAGGAUGAUCAGCCACACUGGAACUGAGACGCGGUCCAGACUCCUACGGGAGGCAGCGGUGGGGAAUAUUGGACAAUGGGCGCAAGCCUGAUCCAGCCAUACCGCGUGGGUGAAGAAGGCCUUCGGGUUGGAAAGCCCUUUUGUUGGGAAAGAAAAGCAGCAGGUUAAUACCCCGCUGUUCUGACGGUACCCAAAGAAUAAGCACCGGCUAACUUCGUG
rnacentral:rRNA from 1 species